AGAUGUAAUUUAUCAAAAAGAAGCUUCUAACUUCAUUUUAAAGCGGUCAUUACGUUUUUGCAUCUA
rnacentral:tRNA from 1 species